rnacentral:rRNA from 1 species
ACUCCACAUACGCAUCCUUUGCUGAGGAUACGGUUAACGGAGCGAAAGCGACGUUCAACCGCAAAAGAAGCAGAGGGGGCUUAGUGGUGGGGUGACUGCGUACCUUUUGUAUAAUGGGUCAGCGACUUAUAUUCUGUAGCAAGGUUAACCGAAUAGGGGAGCCGGAGGGAAACCGAGUCUUAACCGGGCGUUAAGUUGCAGGGUAUAGACCCGAAACCCGGUGAUCUAGCCAUGGGCAGGUUGAAGGUUGGGUAACACUAACUGGAGGACCGAACCGACUAAUGUUGAAAAAUUAGCGGAUGACCUGUGGCUGGGGGUGAAAGGCCAAUCAAACCGGGAGAUAGCUGGUUCUCCCCGAAAGCUAUUUAGGUAGCGCCUCGUGAAUUCAUCUCCGGGGGUAGAGCACUGUUUCGGCUAGGGGGCCAUCCCGGCUUACCAACCCGAUGCAAACUGCGAAUACCGGAGAAUGUUAUCACGGGAGACACACGGCGGGUGCUAACGUCCGUCGUGAAGAGGGAAACAACCCAGACCGCCAGCUAAGGUCCCAAAGUCAUGGUUAAGUGGGAAACGAUGUGGGAAGGCCCAGACAGCCAGGAUGUUGGCUUAGAAGCAGCCAUCAUUUAAAGAAAGCGUAAUAGCUCACUGGUCGAGUCGGCCUGCGCGGAAGAUGUAACGGGGCUAAACCAUGCACCGAAGCUGCGGCAGCGACGCUUAUGCGUUGUUGGGUAGGGGAGCGUUCUGUAAGCCUGUGAAGGUGGCCUGUGAGGGUUGCUGGAGGUAUCAGAAGUGCGAAUGCUGACAUAAGUAACGAUAAAGCGGGUGAAAAGCCCGCUCGCCGGAAGACCAAGGGUUCCUGUCCAACGUUAAUCGGGGCAGGGUGAGUCGACCCCUAAGGCGAGGCCGAAAGGCGUAGUCGAUGGGAAACGGGUUAAUAUUCCCGUACUUGGUGUUACUGCGAAGGGGGGACGGAGAAGGCU